ACAAGUGCAGAUCAGUGUCGCUCCAAGUCUCCGAGGAGACUGUGUUAGUUCUAAUUUUCACCGCAAGCGUAGUGAGCAUGUGAAUCGGUGACGAUCGGUAGGAUGCAUGGAGUGGGAUGUAAACAAAAAAUGACAGAAAAAAAAAAAACGCUGUCACUUACGUGAAAGAAUGCGCUUGGAUAUCGAAGAUUUUGGAACAAAUGUGACACUAAAGUAAAGUAACUUUGGAAACAGAAUAAAUAGGAUCACCGUUCAGGCAGAAAUGAGUGGGGUCAUACUUCAGAAUCGACGGAACAGCUGGACGAUCGUCCAAAUUAACAGGAUCUUGAAAAUUGCAGAUGCAAAUAAAAAGAUGAGCACUUUACAGGAGAUUCGAAGAAUUGCUCCAAGGUAUCGAAAGAAUACUGGAAAGUACGAUUUAGCAAAAGUGAAAAAGGAGAAAAAUGUUGGAGUACAGUGAUGCCACCGCCUACUUCAAAAGAUUUUUCAAAACCGACAGCGCUGAGAAAUGACCCUCUUAUAUCCAAGACAAUCCCCAGUGUGAUGUAUUUGUCAUGAAGAUAGUACCACACAAGAUCUUUUCAAGUGACGAAAAUACCAUAAAUAGCAGCUGGAAUGCGCACAAACUACAUACGAUAUAAAAAACAACUGAAAAGAAUAGUAGCAAGAAAAGAGAUAUCUUAUUAUGCAACUGCCAUGUUAUGGGUGCACUUAAUUGAUAUUAAGGCUAAGCGAGGUGACGGAGUGUUAACAAGUGCGGAAGAGGACAUACUCGCAGGAACAGCCGAUGAUCUGUAUAAAUGUUUUAGUGAGAUUGGAGUGUACACAAUUAUGAUGGGAAAUGAGAUGCAGCCAAAAAUACCAUCACUACCAGUUAUAUAACGCAAAGCGUUAUUCAUGAAAAUUCACAUAUGAUUUUUGGAGUAGUGUCAUAGUAGUGUCAUCUUCAAAGAUUGUAGGAGAUUGUUGAUCAUGACAAAGGAAUGAUACUGUGAUAAAUUUACCAGUAACACAUUUAAACACGAAGUGAAAUCAACUAUUGGUAAGAUCAAAAGGUACGAGGAAGAAAGUGAUAACACAAAAUAUUUAUUAUCUGAUUACCAAGUGUAACAUAAACGAUUGAUUCAUGAUCCCUAAUAAAAUGGUUGUACGAAUGAUA